CACUCCUUCCCAUCCCGAACAGGACAGUGAAACGCCUUUGCGCCGAUGAUAGUGCGGAUGCCCGUGUGAAAGUAGGUCAUCGUCAGGC
rnacentral:rRNA from 1 species